ACGGAAGGCAGCAGUGGGGAAUAUUGCCCAAUGGGCGGAAGCCUGAUGCAGCGAUGCCGCGUGAGGGAAGAAGGUUUUCGGAUUGUAAACCUCCGUCCUCAGGGACGAUAAUGACGGUACCUGGGGAGGAAGCUCCGGCUAACUACGUGCCAGCAGCCGCGGUAAUACGUAGGGAGCGAGCGUUGUCCGGAAUUACUGGGUGUAAAGGGUGCGUAGGCGGGACGGCAAGUCAGAUGUGAAAUGUAUGGGCUUAACCCAUAACCUGCAUUUGAAACUGUUGUUCUUGAGUGAGGUAGAGGUGAGCGGAAUUCCUAGUGUAGCGGUGAAAUGCGUAGAUAUUAGGAGGAACAUCGGUGGCGAAGGCGGCUUACUGGGCCUUUACUGACGCUGAGGCACGAAAGCGUGGGGAGCAAACAGGAUUAGAUACCCUGGUA
rnacentral:rRNA from 1 species